rnacentral:lncRNA from 1 species
GACUGGUAUAUUUGAGAUUUUGAAGUUGUUACCAUGGCAAAACCUAGUCCCAUGAGCUAAGAUCCAGGUAGGCAGGGAUUUUGCCUUUUGACUUGAAAUGUCUGUAACAUCUAACACAGGGCCUCACAUGUGACAGCAAUGCAGAAAUUAUCUGUGGAAUUAAAUUUAACCCAACCACAUCCAGGGUCAAAGGAAAAGUCAGGAACAUCAGUAAGUAGCACUCUGGAGUUAGGCAACCACUUCUCAGCUUCAUGAUUGGGUAAGUGACCACUCCUGAGGCUUCAGCCUCCUUUACAGUGUUCUUGUAAGUGUGACAUGAGAUACUGUAUAUGCACAACAGAUGACCAAUAAAUGUUACCUGUUAUUACUUUUGUUAUUAUGCUCAGUCUUCAGUUCUAAAGUGCUAUUUAUUGCUACUUAACUACAGUGCUAUACAAAGAAGAAAUAUAUAGAAAUCAAGUAACCAGAGUCCCACGGAAUAGGACAAAAAGACCCAGCAGCACUGCAGCACCUCACACCAAGGCGUGCUGAGAACCAAUGCAGAGAAGAAAAAUGGCACGUGGGCUGGCGGCUGCUUCCUCAGCCUCCUGACUUACGGCAAUGGGCUCCAGCUCCUCACAACCAGAGGGCAGCAGAAUCCAGGAGGCUGGUGGUGCCUUCUCCACACCCAGAGUGGAUCAGCUCACUACCCACACCUACUCUCAGGGGCCCCAACUUCAAAGACGUGUGGGUUGCUGCCAAAGAUGGAGCAGGAGCUAAUGUCACCAGCCAGGAAGAAUAAUAAGCAAAUGCAUUAACUAAGGCUAAUUAGUCUUCUAUUUUUGUCUCUAAUCAUUUCUUAAAACCAAAAAAGUCAUUAUAGUCAAUUGUGUCUUCAGUGAAAGAUGUACUUGAAUUUCUAUAUGUGGGCUACAUUUUACAUGUCACGCAUCCAGCAGGAUCUUAGACACACUAUGUUUAGAUGGUCACCUGUAAUCUUGCCUAAGUCUUACUUUAGCUAUGAUUAUCCUUCUGAUGAAAAAUAAACAGAACAUAAAUUUCUUCCUUUGUGUUUAUUCUACUAAUAUUUCUUGAGUGCCCACUGUUAUGGUUUGGAUGUGAGGUGUCCCCCCAAAAAAGUUCACAUGUGAGCGAUAUAAGAAGGUUCAGAUGAGAUAUGAUUGGAUUGUGAGAGUCUAAAUCCAAUCAGCAAAUUAAUCGCCUAAUGGGAAUAACUGAGUGGUAACUGAAGUGGUAGGGUGUGGCUGAAGGAGGUAGGAAUUGGGGCAGGGCUUUGGGUUUAUAUUUUGUAUCUGGAGCAUG